GUGAACGAUUAAGGGCGCGCGGUGGAUGCCUAGGCUCUCGGAGGCGAAGAAGGACGCGAUAAGCCGCGAUAGUCCACGGCGAGGUGCAAGUAACCCUUGACCCGUGGGUUUCCGAAUGGGGCAACCCGGCCGUCUAGAUGACGGUCAUGCAUUAUCAUGCAGGCGAACGCGGGGAACUGAAACAUCUCAUUACCCGCAGGAGAAAAGGGCGCGCGGUGGAUGCCUAGGCUCUCGGAGGCGAUGAAGGACGCGAUAAGCCGCGAUAGGCCACGGCGAGGUGCAAGUAACCCUUGACCCGUGGAUUUCCGAAUGGGGCAACCCGGCUGGAUAGAUUCCAGUCAUGCAUUAAUGCAAGCGAACGCGGGGAACUGAAACAUCUCAUUACCCGCAGGAGAAGAAAACAACAGUGAUUCCCCCAGUAGUGGCGAGCGAACGGGGAAGAGCCCAAACCGUUGCCGUUUCGGCGACAGCGGGGUCAUGGGACCGCGACAUUCGACGGAAGACGAAGUGCAAUUACCUGGAAAGGUAAGCCGUGGAGGGCGAUAGCCCCGUGCACGACACCUCUUUCUUAGAUAGCGGUAUCCCGAGUAGGGCGGGACACGAGAAAUCCUGCCUGAAUUCGCCAGGACCUCCUGGCAAGGCUAAAUACUCCCGAGAGACCGAUAGUGAACCAGUACCGCGAGGGAAAGGUGAAAAGUACCCCGAGCAGGGGGGUGAAAUAGACCCUGAACCCGCGCGCCUACAAGCGGUCGGAGCCGAGUAAUUCGGUGACGGCGUGCCUUUUGCAUAAUGAGCCUACGAGUUAGUCGUCACCAGCGAGGUUAAGGGCUUCAGGCCCGUCAGCCGAAGUGAAAGCGAGCCUUAACAGGGCGUAAAGUUGGUGGCGCUAGACGCGAAACCUUGUGAUCUACCCACGAGCAGGUUGAAGUCGCGGUAACACGUGAUGGAGGACCGAACCGGUAAACGUUGAAAAGUUUUCGGAUGACUCGCGGGUAGGGGUGAAAGGCCAAUCAAACUGGGAAAUAGCUCGUACUCUCCGAAAUGCAUUUCGGUGCAGCCUGUGAUGUUCUGUUCCAGAGGUAGAGCUACUGGUUGGACGCGAGGGCUUCACCGCCUAUCAAAUCCGGAUAAACUCCGAAUGCUGGAACACGAAAUCAUGGAGUGAGCCCGCGGGUGCUAAGGUCCGCGGACGAGAGGGAAAGAACCCGGACCACCGGCUAAGGUCCCGGAUGGACAGUUAAGUUGAUCAAACGAGGUGGGAUCGCGGAGACAGCUAGGAUGUUGGCUUGGAAGCAGCCAUUCAUUUAAAGAGUGCGUAACAGCUCACUAGUCGAGCGAUCCCGCGUGGAUAAUACACGGGCAUCAAACUGUCAACCGAAGCCGUGGGGUCAGUGAAGAACUGACCGGUAGGAGAGCAUUCCUGCCAGCUUUGAAGGUCACCCGGAGAGUGACUGGAGCGGCAUGAAAAGCAAAUGUAGGCAUAAGUAACGAUAAGGGGGGCGAGACCCCCCCACGCCGCAAGACCAAGGCUUCCCCGGCAAUGUCAAUCAGCCGGGGGGCAGCCGGCCUCUAAGGCUCACCCGAAGGGGGAUGCCGACGAGAAACGGGUUAAUAUUCCCGUGCUUCUCGUCACCGUGACGCGGUGACGGGGUGAUGAAUGGACCGCGCGCUGACGGAAUAGCGCGUUGAAGGCCGUACCCUGUGACGGUGGUAGUCAAGCACGCCACCGGAGGCGAAAGUCGAUAGUACCUCGAGGCCUCGGCCGAGGGGAUAGCGUCCAGGCAAUUUACCCCCUAGAAAACCCGCUAAACUUCAAGUGACGAGGAACCGUACCGUAAACGGACACACGUGGUCGGGUAGAACAUACCAAGGCGCUCGAGUGAUUCAUGGUCAAGGAACUAGGCAAAAUAGUCCUGUAACUUAGGGAUAAAGGACGCUCUAGUGAUAGAGCCGCAGAGAAAUGGCCCAGGCGACUGUUUACCAAAAACACAUGGCUAUGCCAAAUCGAAAGAUGACGUAUAUGGCCUGACACCUGCCCGGUGCCGGAAGGUUAAGAGGAGAGCUCAUCGGAAACGAGAAGGUUUGAAUUGAAGCCCCGGUAAACGGCGGCCGUAACUAUAACGGUCCUAAGGUAGCGAAAUUCCUUGUCGGGUAAGUUCCGACCUGCACGAAUGGUGUAACGAUCUGGGCACUGUCUCGACCAUGAGCUCGGUGAAAUUGUAGUUCCGGUGAAGAUGCCGGGUACCCGCGACGGGACGGAAAGACCCCGUGAACCUUUACUGCAGCUUCGCGUUGUUCCCGGGCACGGGACGUGUAGGAUAGGUCGGAGGCAUGAAAGCGGAUUCGCCAGGAUGCGUGGAGCCAUCGUUGAAAUACGACCCUUCUCUUGUCUGGGAUCUAACCCUAGGUACAGGGGACACCGCGUGGUGGGUAGUUUGACUGGGGUGGUCGCCUCCAAAAGCGUAACGGAGGCUUCCAAAGGUACCCUCGGGUUGGUUGGUAAUCAACCUCAGAGUGCAAUGGCACAAGGGUGCUUGACCGGGAGACCAACGAGUCGAUCGGGUGCGAAAGCAGGGCAUAGUGAUCCGGUGAUCCCGCGUGGAAGGGUCAUCGCUCAAAGGAUAAAAGGUACUCCGGGGAUAACAGGCUGAUCGCCCCCAAGAGCUCAUAUCGACGGGGCGGUUUGGCACCUCGAUGUCGGCUCGUCACAUCCUGGGGCUGGAGAAGGUCCCAAGGGUUCGGCUGUUCGCCGAUUAAAGUGGCACGCGAGCUGGGUUCAGAACGUCGUGAGACAGUUCGGUCCCUAUCUGUCGUGGGCGCUGGAGAUUCGAGAGGUCCUGACUCUAGUACGAGAGGACCGGGUUGGACGCGCCGCUAGUGAACCUGUUAUGACGCCAGUCGUACGGCAGGGUAGCCACGCGCGGACGGGAUAAGCGCUGAAAGCAUCUAAGCGCGAAGCCUGCCUCGAGAUGAGAUCUCCUUACAGGGUCGUCGUAGACGACGACGUUGAUAGGCCACAGGUGUAAAGCCGGUGACGGCAAAGCCGAGUGGUACUAAUCACCCGAAAGUUGACGUUC
rnacentral:rRNA from 1 species